CCCCGGAUGAAGGAACCGACCGAAACCUCCCUGUACCUCGCGGUCAGUCGCUGCGCUUCUGGCCGGGACAGCUCCGAAGCAGCGAACCUCGGCGAUCAAGCUGAAGAGAGGCUUGAUCAGAGGAGGUGUUGAGAGUGAAGCUUUCAAGGAUCCAGGAGGAGUGUGGCCUUAUGCUACUUGAACAAUGUCAAAUCCCCGAAGCCUGAGGAUUUUAAGAUGGUGAUGGACAGGAAUUCAACAACAUGCAAGGCAUGGUUCCCUAAGAGGUGAAAAUUAUAAUUGUAUGUUGGGUUUGCUGCCAAUAGAGCAAGAGAGUUUCUGAAAACAAGUUUUUAAAAUUAGUCUUCUGUUGUUGUUGUUGGAAAGCUAUGAAGAACCAUUCAUUAAAGGCAACAAAAGGUAAAAAUUUCCUAUGCUAAUUGAAAUCUUUCUCAAUUUCAUUUUUGGCUGAUUUUCAUCAU